rnacentral:rRNA from 1 species
UACGUAGGGUGCAAGCGUUGUCCGGAAUUAUUGGGCGUAAAGAGCUUGUAGGCGGUUUGUCGCGUCUGCUGUGAAAACUCGGGGCUCAACUCCGAGCUUGCAGUGGGUACGGGCAGACUAGAGUGCGGUAGGGGAGACUGGAAUUCCUGGUGUAGCGGUGGAAUGCGCAGAUAUCAGGAGGAACACCGGUGGCGAAGGCGGGUCUCUGGGCCGUAACUGACGCUGAGGAGCGAAAGCAUGGGGAGCGAACAGG